AAUUAUGAAUAAAAAUUCGUAACAUUCAUAAUCCAUAACAGUUUUGAGCCAUUCCCCAUUCAUUGACUUUUUGAUAAACCUGUUUUAAAUAUUGAUUUUGGUGCCUUUUAGUCAGUCAUUGCUUGCAAGUGUAUAUCUUGUCAAUGGAUGCCAUUGGCAUGUAAGAUUGUAGCAAUUUCAGUAUCACUAUUAUAGCGCUGUCUGUCAUAUUUAUGCAAUUGUUGUUUGAACUUUUUCCUCUUGCCAAGAUUUUAUAAUGUGUAGUUCAUUUGGUGAGUU
rnacentral:misc_RNA from 1 species